rnacentral:rRNA from 1 species
GUGAGGAAUCUUGCGCAAUGGGGGAAACCCUGACGCAGCAACGCCGCGUGAGUGAGGAAGGUCUUCGGAUCGUAAAGCUCUGUCGGGUGGAAAGAAGUGUAUGGGGUUAAUAGCCUUCAUACUUGACGGUACCACCAAAGGAAGCACCGGCUAACUCCGUGCCAGCAGCCGCGGUAAUACGGGGGGUGCAAGCGUUGUUCGGAAUUAUUGGGCGUAAAGAGCGUGUAGGCGGCUUGUCAAGUCAGAUGUGAAAGCCCUGGGCUUAACCCAGGAAGUGCAUUUGAAACUGGCAGGCUUGAGUAGGGGAGAGGGAAGUGGAAUUCCUGGUGUAGAGGUGAAAUUCGUAGAUAUCAGGAGGAACACCGGUGGCGAAGGCGACUUCCUGGCCCUAUACUGACGCUGAGACGCGAGAGCGUGGGUAGCAAACAGGAUUAGAAACCCCGGUAGUCC